rnacentral:rRNA from 1 species
UACGGAGGGUGCGAGCGUUAAUCGGAAUUACUGGGCGUAAAGCGCGCGUAGGCGGUCUGAUCAGCCGGUUGUGAAAGCCCCGGGCUCAACCUGGGAACGGCAUCCGGAACUGUCAGGCUAGAGUGCAGGAGAGGAAGGUAGAAUUCCCGGUGUAGCGGUGAAAUGCGUAGAGGUCGGGAGGAAUACCAGUGGCGAAGGCGGCCUUCUGGACUGACACUGACGCUGAGGUGCGAAAGCGUGGGUAGCAAACAGGAUUAGAUACCCUGGUAGU